rnacentral:rRNA from 1 species
UACGUAGGGGGGCUAGCGUUGUCCGGAAUCAUUGGGCGUAAAGAGCGUGUAGGCGGCCCGGUAAGUCCGCUGUGAAAGUCGGGGGCUCAACCCUCGAAUGCCGGUGGAUACUGUCGGGCUAGAGUGCGGAAGAGGCGAGUGGAAUUCCUGGUGUAGCGGUGAAAUGCGCAGAUAUCAGGAGGAACACCGAUUGCGAAGGCAGCUCGCUGGGACGUAACUGACGC